CUGAGACAGGUGGCGGAGAGUUUGAGACUGAGGUAAGAGUCGGGAGAAGGAGAAUAACCCGAGGAACUCACGCUGCUCGAAUGUCAUGGAAUGUUGGGAUAGAUAUACAGUAUACAUGGGGAAUUAAAGACUGGAUCAAGGCGCGGGCUGGUCAGCAGGACUUAAGGUUCAUUCAACCGGGACGAGGAGCCGGUGCGGAGUAGAGACGGACCUGUGACGCCUCGCCUCACCGCCGGCCCCCUCUGCAGACGGCUCCCCCUGGCCCAACUCCACGGCGUCCUCCGCCCCGCCACGCCCCUCCGUCGGGGCCCUGCGGGGGGGCUGCAGGUGGGGUGAGAGGGACCACAGAGGGACCUCCUCCGCCUGCUCCUCUAAGGGCUCCAGGUUGAGCCGCGUCUCGGCUGGCGUUCCCUCCCUGGCCAUGGUUCCUGUCGCCCACUGGACUGGAGGAGCUGUGGGCGAAGCAGCACGGGGAGGUGGCAGCGGACCCGCCUCGAUCAGGCCGGGCGAUGGCACCCUGGUGGAACAUUGUGGACCGCUGAACGCAUGGGGAAUGUUGAUGUUUACGUCCCCGUUGCUGUUGCUUGGGGCAGUUUUUUGAGUGACAGGUUUAAUGGAAGAUCACAUGGGUCAGUGGGAGGAUGAUGGCCACAAUAAAAGUUAUUACCAUUG